AUUGAACGCUGGCGGCAGGCCUAACACAUGCAAGUCGAGCGGAUGAAGGGAGCUUGCUCCUGGAUUCAGCGGCGGACGGGUGAGUAAUGCCUAGGAAUCUGCCUGGUAGUGGGGGAUAACGUCCGGAAACGGGCGCUAAUACCGCAUACGUCCUGAGGGAGAAAGUGGGGGAUCUUCGGACCUCACGCUAUCAGAUGAGCCUAGGUCGGAUUAGCUAGAUGGUGGGGUAAAGGCCUACCAAGGCGACGAUCCGUAACUGGUCUGAGAGGAUGAUCAGUCACACUGGAACUGAGACACGGUCCAGACUCCUACGGGAGGCAGCAGUGGGGAAUAUUGGACAAUGGGCGAAAGCCUGAUCCAGCCAUGCCGCGUGUGUGAAGAAGGUCUUUGGAUUGUAAAGCACUUUAAGUUGGGAGGAAGGGCAGUAAGUUAAUACCUUGCUGUUUUGACGUUACCAACAGAAUAAGCACCGGCUAACUUCGUG
rnacentral:rRNA from 1 species